ACAAAAUGUAGCUAUAAUCAGCUGAGUAUUUGAUCUAUUUAUAUGUUUUGUGCUGGGGGUUUUUUAAAGCAUGUCCUGAUGUUACACACAGUAGCGUCCCCGGGAUGUUUUUUCACAGGGGUGGCCAGAUGGGGCCAAUGAAAACCACGGGGUGGCACACAAACACCAAAGACCAUGACUGAAUUUCAGGAAUGGGAUUAUGCUGUUGAAGUGUAUAGGUUCCCAAAGAUCGGGGUUGCACCUGGAUCGUGGUUGCGGUUGUGGUUGUGCCUGCUGCCUUGGUCCUGCUUGAUGCCCACAGCUGCGGCAAUAUCUGGGUAAUUAGGGAACAGCUGACUUAACCUGCUAGGUGUGACGUGCCAACAGACUGGGUUUGGGGCUUAAAAGAAGUCUGCUUCAUGAACGUCCUCCUUUACAUCAGCUCUCCAUGCCUCUAGCUUUCUGAUGGAUGAAUCUCAACAGUAACUCAUAAAACACAGAAAAAUGACCUCUGCCGUUUAUGUGGGAUAAAGCCAAUUCUUCUACAGUUAGAGAAUGUAAGAUUUUCUGUGGGCCUACAGCGAUGAUGAAUAAAAAAAAACUGUCUUUCAUUUUCUUGUGAUUUAUGUUUUUGUCAAAGCCACAGAGAGCCACUGGAGAGAGGCUAAAGAGCCACAUAUGGCUCUGAAGCCACAGCUCGUCUACCCCUGGUCUGUGCUGUCUGUGAAAUAUGUACAAAUGAUACACGCAGUAAUGUGCAUUCUGUCAUUCAGCCUGUCUGUUAUAUCUUUUUUUUUUUACUGCUUACAAUCAUCACUCAGGUGCAAUAUUAGUUUUGUUAAACUGUGCAAUAUGCUUCCAUUGGUCAAUGAUUUUUUUAUGCUUCCUUAUUAUACUGUUCCUCAUUUUGUACAGUUUACUUAUCAUGUUGAUUUGUGUGUUACAUACUUGUAUAUUGCUUUGUAUGGGACGAAUAAAGGAUCAGGGCUGAGUUGUGGCUGGUUUUGAACCUCAUGUAACCACUGACUUCAUACUGUGGAGAGUUUCACUUACAUUAGUAAAUGUGAGUUGUAAUUGUAAUUAAUUGUUCUAACUGCUGUUGUCCUGUUUUAUAUUUGUGUAUAUUUUAUAUUGCCAUUUACUUGUGUGUCAUUCUUUUACUUUGUACAGCACUCUGGUCAGCUGAGGUUGGUUUUAAAUGUGCCAUAUAAAUAAACCUGAUUUGAUUUAGUCAACUAUAACUGUAAUUAAAGGAUGUUGUUUUGCAGCUGUAGACUGUAAAAAAAAAAAUCUUCAUUCACUGGGCCGACGGCAAAUUUUUGAAGAUUUACUUGUAAUGUUACUAAAUACAUGACUUGCAAAUAUAAUACAUGCUUUUAUUUUUACCUUCAACAGUAAAGGCUGAUAAAGCUCUAGUCACCAAAAUGUCGCAAUAAAUGUAUUAUUUUUGCAUGUUAG